rnacentral:rRNA from 1 species
UACGUAGGUGGCAAGCGUUGUCCGGAAUUACUGGGCGUAAAGAGCUUGUAGGUGGUUUGUCGCGUUGUUCGUGAAAUCUCACGGCUCAACUGUGAGCGUGCGGGCGAUACGGGCAGACUAGAGUACUGCAGGGGAGACUGGAAUUCCUGGUGUAGCGGUGGAAUGCGCAGAUAUCAGGAGGAACACCGGUGGCGAAGGCGGGUCUCUGGGCAGUAACUGACGCUGAGAAGCGAAAGCGUGGGGAGCGAACAGG